GUCCACGCCGUAAACGAUGGGUGCUAGGUGUCGCGGGCUUUGACCCCUGCGGUGCCGUAGCUAACGCAUUAAGCACCCCGCCUGGGGAGUACGGCCGCAAGGCUAAAACUCAAAGGAAUUGACGGGGGCCCGCACAAGCGGUGGAGCAUGUGGUUCAAUUCGACGCAACGCGCAGAACCUUACCUGGGCUAGAAAGUGCGAGGACCUGGUCGAAAGAUCGGGGUGCUCUUCGGAGAACUCGUAGUUAGGUGCUGCAUGGCUGUCGU
rnacentral:rRNA from 1 species